GCAGGGCGCGGCCAAGCUGGCAGCAGAGGGCCAGAAGGGAGGCGCGGCAGGCCCCGGGGGCCCGUGGGGGAGGCAGGGGCGCCGUGCAGGGUGCCGGCAGGCCGGGUGCUGCAGGUGUAUUAAUAGCCGCUGCCCGGCGGCCCGGCCCAGGACGGCAGAGCCACCGGGGGGCGAAGGCGGCCUCGAGUUCCUGUAGGAUCACGCAGCAGCUUAAAAUACCCGGGCCGCUCCCCGCCGGGCGGCUGCCGGGGGCAGGCCAAAGCCUACCCGGCCCUGCCCGGGCACCGGACCAGGCGCGGGAGGGAGGGCGGGCCGGCAGAGCGCCGCCGUCGAGGGCCAGGCCCAGGCAGGAGCCGGGGCUCGCCGGGGCAGCGGCGCAGCCGCCCACAGGAAGCUGGACGAGACCCGUGAGCCCCCGGGACCCGCUGCACGGAGGAGGGCGAGGAGGCACCCACCAGGCUGCGCCCGCCCGCGCCCUUCACUUCCGGCCCAGUCGGGGCGGCAGGUCGAUACGCUCACGAGAAGACUUCGUUUUAAGAGAAGAGACCGAAGCUAGGAGUCAGAAGACUCAGGCUUCCAAAGCGGCUGUCCCCUGGUGACAAGCAGGGGCUGGCUAAGCUGACCUCCGAGGUUGCCAGAAAGUAAGAUCGGCUUUGCAGCUCGGCUGCAGCCAGCCCUGGAACUGCACCGCCUCGGCUUCUCAGGGACGUCCGGAGACGAGGGAAGGGGUCCAAAGGUCGUGCAGACUGCAAAGCCCCUUGCUAAGCCCGAGGCGGCGGCAUGGUGCAAGGUUUGCGCAACCGUCGCCCUAGGAUGAGGGACUGGGGACAGGAGUCCCGCGCCCUUCGCUCCUCCCCUGCCAGAACGUGCAACUCAGCACGCUGGGGGAGCUGCGCGGGUCGCCCGGGCCCAGCAGAGACCCCCCCCCCAAGCUACGAGCACCCCCAGAACAACCUGGGUUGCAGGAUUAGCACGACCUCCCCCGCGCAUGCGCACCGCGACUAACACGCGGCCCAGGGGCGCCCACUGCGCCUGCGCCCUCCGGCUUGGGCCCCCUUCGGGGCGCAGGGCCAGGGAAGGGAGUCCCGCGCCCCCGCGAAGAAGAAAAAGAGCAGGGGUAUCCGGGGAUGGCGCCCAGCACCCCGGUCCUCGUUCCUUACCUCAUAGUGCUUCAUGGCUCCCUCGCCCGGGGGCUGAUGCGCCUGCUACCCUCCUGCGCGCGACACAGACAAGGCCGCCUCCCGCGCUCGCGACCACCGCGCGAGACUAACCGCGGCUCGGCGCCGGCCCCG
rnacentral:lncRNA from 1 species